rnacentral:rRNA from 1 species
GGGUGAGUAACACGUGAGCAACCUGCCCUCCACUUCGGGAUAAGCCUUGGAAACGGGGUCUAAUACCGGAUAUGAGCACUCAUCGCAUGGUGGGUGUUGGAAAGUUUUUCGGUGGGGGAUGGGCUCGCGGCCUAUCAGCUUGUUGGUGGGGUGAUGGCCUACCAAGGCGUCGACGGGUAGCCGGCCUGAGAGGGCGACCGGCCACACUGGGACUGAGACACGGCCCAGACUCCUACGGGAGGCAGCAGUGGGGAAUAUUGCACAAUGGGCGAAAGCCUGAUGCAGCGACGCCGCGUGAGGGAUGACGGCCUUCGGGUUGUAAACCUCUUUCAGCAGGGAAGAAGGCCUUCGGGUGGACGGUACCUGCAGAAGAAGCGCCGGCUAACUACGUGCCAGCAGCCGCGGUAAUACGUAGGGCGCAAGCGUUGUCCGGAAUUAUUGGGCGUAAAGAGCUCGUAGGCGGUCUGUCGCGUCUGGUGUGAAAUCCCAUGGCUCAACUGUGGGCGUGCAUCGGGUACGGGCAGACUAGAGUGCGGUAGGGGAGACUGGAAUUCCUGGUGUAGCGGUGGAAUGCGCAGAUAUCAGGAGGAACACCGAUGGCGAAGGCAGGUCUCUGGGCCGCAACUGACGCUGAGGAGCGAAAGCAUGGGGAGCGAACAGGAUUAGAUACCCUGGUAGUCCAUGCCGUAAACGUUGGGCACUAGGUGUGGGGCUCAUUCCACGAGUUCCGUGCCGCAGCUAACGCAUUAAGUGCCCCGCCUGGGGAGUACGGCCGCAAGGCUAAAACUCAAAGGAAUUGACGGGGGCCCGCACAAGCGGCGGAGCAUGCGGAUUAAUUCGAUGCAACGCGAAGAACCUUACCAAGGCUUGACAUACACCGGAA